UACGAAGGGGGCUAGCGUUGCUCGGAAUUACUGGGCGUAAAGCGCACGUAGGCGGCUUGUUAAGUCAGGGGUGAAAUCCUGGAGCUCAACUCCAGAACUGCCUUUGAUACUGGCGAGACUUGAGUUCGGGAGAGGUGAGUGGAACUGCGAGUGUAGAGGUGAAAUUCGUAGAUAUUCGCAAGAACACCAGUGGCGAAGGCGGCUCACUGGCCCGAUACUGACGCUGAGGUGCGAAAGCGUGGGGAGCAAACAGG
rnacentral:rRNA from 1 species